UGUCUUCGCUGCCUGGAUGCCAACGCUGGCCUGUCCAAGACUUAUCGCUUCUCCGAGCUAUGCUUUCUGUGAUGCCAGCCUUCCAGUCUCAGCCUGUGCCUAAGCAUGGUCCCCAGCCGCACCCUGGCAUGGGGUGGACUUGAGGACGCCCAUAUGGAAAGAAGGACUUUUAUUGAAGAGAGAAGCUGCCGCCUACAUCCUGUGGAAACAGCCAAGGCAGUAAAUCCAGCCGGUGGGCAGACUGAAGGGCAGCCAACACUGCCAACAGGAGCUAUCUUUGGACCACCUUCUCAUGAAAUUUGUGGACUGGCCACUGGAUGCAUGGUCGUGACAUUUUCCCCCAUUAAUCUGUUGAUGCUCAGCAUAUUAGAGUGCAUUGGGUGUCUCUAGAAGGUGUCACUUCUGACAUCACGGUCAUCAUCACCACCUCCAUCAUCAUCUUUUUAAAAAACCUGCUAAAAGAGUCAA